UUACGGCCAUAUCACGUUGCAACACCGGUUCUCGUAAAAUCAGCGAAGUUAAGCAACGUUAAGCCUGGUCAGUAUUUAGAUGGGUGACUACUUCGGAAUACCAGGUGAUGUAA